GGACGAGUACGAGGCAUAGUUUUUCUUGCGCUGCCCGCGGCCGCGCUUGCCGGCCGCUCCGGCGUCGCCGCCGCUCUGGGUCUUUUUGGUCGAGAGGGCAAUCUUCUUGGUGCGCUUGGCGGCCUUUUUCUUGGUCUUGGUGGCGCCCGGCUCGGGUUUGGGCACCGCAGAGGCGGCCUCGGUCUCGGUUUCCAUGUCGCGUUGAUGUUGAGGCUCGGCGGCGGUGGGCGCCGCGUCGGCAGGGACCGACGCAUCGGUCGUCAUCUCAAUGUCGGUGGGCGCGGGCGCAGACAUGUCGUUGUUGCUGUCGGACGUGAUCGGGAGGAACGGGGUACGGUAGAGACGAGGGAAAAAAAAAGAGAUAGCGGCAGGCUGCGCGACGGUAGGCUGCUCUCGCGGUGGGACCCUCUU
rnacentral:lncRNA from 1 species